rnacentral:rRNA from 1 species
GUACACUCCUGCGGGAGGCAGCAGUGGGGAAUAUUGCACAAUGGGCGCAAGCCUGAUGCAGCCAUGCCGCGUGUAUGAAGAAGGCCUUCGGGUUGUAAAGUACUUUCAGCGGGGAGGAAGGCAAUACGGUUAAUAACCGUGUUGAUUGACGUUACCCGCAGAAGAAGCACCGGCUAACUCCGUGCCAGCAGCCGCGGUAAUACGGAGGGUGCAAGCGUUAAUCGGAAUUACUGGGCGUAAAGCGCACGCAGGCGGUCUGUCAAGUCGGAUGUGAAAUCCCCGGGCUCAACCUGGGAACUGCAUUCGAAACUGGCAGGCUUGAGUCUUGUAGAGGGGGGUAGAAUUCCAGGUGUAGCGGUGAAAUGCGUAGAGAUCUGGAGGAAUACCGGUGGCGAAGGCGGCCCCCUGGACAAAGACUGACGCUCAGGUGCGAAAGCGUGGGGAGCAAACAGGAUUAGAAACCCUGGUAGUCCCAUGAU